rnacentral:lncRNA from 1 species
UUUACUGCUUAUGAGCAUUGAGUGUGGUCAAGCUGUGUAGACCCUUAGGAGCUUGUCAUGUGGUUAAAUCAAGAUUUCACUUGCACGUUCACUCGUAUAUGCUACUUCUACUCUGGAAGUACCAUCCACAUAUAUCCAUCCAUUUCCAUCUCCAGAAUCACCCAAAAAUAUUCUACUCCUAAUCCGGGAGAGAAUGGCCAAAAAUAUUUCUGUUUUCCCUUGUGAAAUAAAUGCUCCAGUUAUCUUGUUACUACCACUUGCUAUAUUAUGAGUGCUCUAAAAAAAAUAUAAAUACGAGGAAAUAAAAAGGAGCAAGUGCUCGGAACCUCGAAAGAAAGAAAAGAAAAAGUAAGACGAGAGGUAAAAAUGGACAAGUGUCCGACAGUAGAAUUAGGGGUACAAGAUACCCACCUGAGAGAAAAGAAAAGAAGAGCAUCUCAUUCUCCUCAUAAAGUUUCAAAAAGCAGGGAAGGUAUGUAUUCCCUCAAAGAGUAAAGUAGAAUUAGACUUCCACCACCAUUUUUUUCACCAUUGUUAUCACCAUCAUCACCAUACACCAUUCAUCCACCACACAUGCACAUCUUGAUUUGACUUAUUGAUUUGUUUCUUUGGAUCCAUGGUUUGACUAUGCAAUAAAUGUCUUGUAAGUAUGUAUAUUUUAUCUCCCACCUAUGAGCUCCAGAUAUUAAAGCCUUAUUAGAGUAGGGUGAGAGAGAAGGCAAUGUCACUAUGCUUUAUACGACAAAUACUACAUAUCUUGAGAGAAGGCAUAUACCAUCACUGCCUUGGUAAGGAUCUAGAAAUACCACAAAAGAG